AAACAAAUUCCGCUGUUUAAAAUUCGCCUCUUUCCAAAUUGAUUUCGCAAAGAUUAGAAGAGAAGUCGCUGGCAAUACAGCAGAAAAGUUGUGCGGUUAUUUCGUAGAAACUGAUUAAACAACAACGCAACUGUGGGUCCCACACCGAGUGCAGCACGUGUGGGAAACGGCGGUGAUAAUCGUUCGUCGAUGAUUCCUUCAUUCAACGCUUACCGCGUAAGCAACCUUCGAUCAAAAGCAUAAUCACCCAAUACCAAACCCAGCGCAUAACAUAACGAGAUCGGAGGCUUUUACGUUGUUCUUUCGUCUUUUGGAUUUUCCAUUGGAUCUCUGCUGAGGUUGUUCUUCCCACUCCAUAACCAUGAGUUUCAUCUUCGGAAAGAGAAAAACACCCGCAGAACUUCUGCGGGAAAAUAAGAGGAUGCUGGACAAAUCAAUUAGAGAAAUUGAGCGCGAGCGGCAAGGUUUGCAAACACAAGAGAAGAAAUUGAUUUUGGAGA